rnacentral:rRNA from 1 species
ACGGGUGAGUAACGCGUGGGAACAUACCUCUUGGUUCGGAACAACACAGGGAAACUUGUGCUAAUACCGGAUAAGCCCUUACGGGGAAAGAUUUAUCGCCGAGAGAUUGGCCCGCGUCUGAUUAGCUAGUUGGUGUGGUAAAGGCGCACCAAGGCGACGAUCAGUAGCUGGUCUGAGAGGAUGAUCAGCCACAUUGGGACUGAGACACGGCCCAAACUCCUACGGGAGGCAGCAGUGGGGAAUAUUGGACAAUGGGCGCAAGCCUGAUCCAGCCAUGCCGCGUGAGUGAUGAAGGCCUUAGGGUUGUAAAGCUCUUUUGUACGGGAAGAUAAUGACGGUACCGUAAGAAUAAGCCCCGGCUAACUUCGUGCCAGCAGCCGCGGUAAUACGAAGGGGGCUAGCGUUGCUCGGAAUCACUGGGCGUAAAGGGUGCGUAGGCGGGUUUUUAAGUCAGAGGUGAAAUCCUGGAGCUCAACUCCAGAACUGCCUUUGAUACUGAAAGUCUUGAGUAUGGGAGAGGUGAGUGGAACUGCGAGUGUAGAGGUGAAAUUCGUAGA